CCUACGGGAGGCAGCAGUGAGGAAUAUUGGUCAAUGGACGAGAGUCUGAACCAGCCAAGUAGCGUGAAGGAUGACUGCCCUAUGGGUUGUAAACUUCUUUUAUAUGGGAAUAAAAUGUUCCACGUGUGGGAUUUUGUAUGUACCAUAUGAAUAAGGAUCGGCUAACUCCGUGCCAGCAGCCGCGGUAAUACGGAGGAUCCGAGCGUUAUCCGGAUUUAUUGGGUUUAAAGGGAGCGUAGGUGGAUUGUUAAGUCAGUUGUGAAAGUUUGCGGCUCAACCGUAAAAUUGCAGUUGAUACUGGCAGUCUUGAGUACAGUAGAGGUGGGCGGAAUUCGUGGUGUAGCGGUGAAAUGCUUAGAGAUCACGAAGAACUCCGAUUGCGAAGGCAGUUCACUGGACUGCAACUGACACUGAGGCUCGAAAGUGUGGGUAUCAAACAGGAUUAGAUACCCGAGUAGUC
rnacentral:rRNA from 1 species